UUUUUGGCAACCUUUUAGAAUUAAACCAAAUCUGUUGGUCUCGAGCAUCACUGAAGAGACAUUUAUGGUCGAAAUCCUCGUCUGGUGCUGAAAAAAUGGUAGCGUUAUUGUGUUGCUCAUCAUUUGUUCAUGUUUACAUAUUUCUUCAUGUAAUUUAAAAAAAAAAAUAAGUUAUUAAAAAGUACAAUUGAGAAUGGAAAGGGGGAAUGUGUCAACGAGACAACAAUCCG
rnacentral:lncRNA from 1 species